UACGUAGGGUGCAGGUGUUAAUCGGAAUUACUGGGCGUAAAGCGUGCGCAGGCGGUUUCUUAAGUCAGAUGUGAAAGCCCCGGGCUUAACCUGGGAACUGCGUUUGAAACUGGGAGACUUGAGUGUGGCAGAGGGGGGUGGAAUUCCACGUGUAGCAGUGAAAUGCGUAGAUAUGUGGAGGAACACCGAUGGCGAAGGCAGCCCCCUGGGUUAACACUGACGCUCAUGCACGAAAGCGUGGGGAGCAAACAGG
rnacentral:rRNA from 1 species